rnacentral:lncRNA from 1 species
AACAGUCUGGGUAUGUACAACAUGCUGGCUUUCUAUUCCACUCUCAAAUUCUGUGUGAUACAUCAAACCACCAUCAAAUGCACCCGCACCUAAGGACAUCAUGGAUUAUAAUCAUGCUGUGUGAUGAACAAACUUACUCCCGUCUCUCUGCUCAGGAUCCAUGAAGAGGUCAGCUUAAUGUCUGGGUCACGCAGUGCUUGGAAACAUGGGUAACCUUAACCCCAGCCUCUACCUCUCUGACACUGCUCCAGGGAGCUCGAACCCUCCUCACGGAGUGGACAACUGCUGUUUGCCAUGCCUGCCUCCCUAGGGCUGAUGGUUCCAGAGGGCAGCACAGGAACUGUGUCCAAAAGGGGGAGAAUGGAAGGGAUUGUUCCAGACCAGAGGUGGUUCCCCCUUAGCAAUCUGUACCUCUUUGAAGCUCUUAUUACAAGUACAAUGAAUGAGCUCCUGGCACAGCUCCUGGCACAGCACCCAGGACACGACUUCUCACCUUGCUCCACGAGAAUUUGCUAAGUGGGUGAAGCAAGUACUGAAGGAUUGGAGGGAUGGCCAGCGCACACCCAGAGGAGCCCUCCACCUGCUCUCCCAGAUCCAGACUCUGCAGCGAGGGCUCUCUAACACAGGCUUGCUUACUGGGGUGAGUUUGCAUCAUGAUGCAGCAGUUACAAUGCAGAGCCUGGGAGCUGGGUAAUUUCACAUUCAGACCUCCCACGGAACUUUCCUCCCAGAUCCCACUCACACCCCUCAGCUAUGAUCUGGUAUGUCUGAGAACCCUUCUCUCUCCCUGCGAGAACCUCAUCUCCCUUGAGACCACAGACCAAACAAGAGUCAGAGCUUUUUUUUUUUUUUUCCUCCACUGCACCUAGCACAGAAAUAGGCACAUAAUAGGUACACAAAACAGGCUUAAUAAGUACAUUAAAAGUGACACAGAUAGUUGUUUUCUCUGUACCCUUGUUAGGAUAGAAUAGCAAUUCACCCUCUUGGCCCUAUAUUAUUCAUGUUUUGUUUUCCCCAUUACUAUAACCUAUUAACCUUUUUCCUUUUAAGUCAGGCAUUUAAUGCAACCCACGCCCUGCCUUCUACUGAUUCA